CCUACAUAUAAAACUGAGUUUGGAUAUAGGGAAGCAACAGAGGGAGGAAGGGCGGCAGCAUGUUUUUAGGCUAAUUUAGACUCAAAAGGUCAUCUGAAACUCCACCCAAUGGGUUUUGUUGGGACUUGGGUACUAGAUAUUCCUGGUCAGCCAAAGUGUCUGAUCUUGUUAAUGGGCCAGUAAAAAUUAGGGGGACAAAGGCCAAGCACUGGCUACUCAAAUGAAUCUCCUCUGCAAAAGCCGAGCAAGCAAGAGCAACUCGUAAUGAGUUGUAACCAAGCAAACAGAGGAAUCAUUG
rnacentral:lncRNA from 1 species